UUUCUUAUUCUAUACGUACUAUUAUUAUCUAAUACGUAUACUCCCUGACCAAUUACGCACUCACACACGUACUCCACCCUCGUUUAUUAGUUACUGGGCCACUCUUAUUGUUUCCUCACCACUCAUUCACGGUUAAACUCCUACCACAUACACACACAAUACAUAUUAUAGAAGAGAGAAAAAGGAGGAAUCGGGAAAGAAGAAAGGAAGGAGAGGGAGAAGAGCGCACCGCCCAGCUCACUGCCGUGGAGCCGUCGCCUUGAGCCUACCGUCGUCGAGAUCGCCCUGUCACGAGCAAGAAGAGAGCGAGCCAGAGAAGAGGAAGAACGCUGAAGAAUAGAGACUGAUGGGAAGGAGGGUAACACCGUUGUUGUAGGGCAAGCCACCGGAGCCACUACCAUCGCCUUCGUGCCUCUCCGUGGCUGCUGCUGCCGCCAAACCCAUCGCCAUCGCCAUUCCGGUUCCAAUUCUUUGAUUUUCAAGAUCGACAGUGAUUACUUUUAAUUCCUAUCCAAUUUGGAACCUCUAUGUUGCUGCAACUAUGGUUAUGUGAGAGCUAACACUGCUGCUGUCCUGAUUGUGUUAAAACACAUGACUGCUGCUAUCUCGGUUGAAUUUGUUAAGUGCAGCGGCAGCAACCCUCAAUACAGCCAGAGCAGCGGCAGUAGCCUCAACUCCUUCGGAGCAGCAACAACAGCAAUAACCACGCCAAUUAUGAUUGUCCAAGAGAUGAAUUAGCAAUGACUAGAG